rnacentral:rRNA from 1 species
GACAGAGGUCCCAAGCGUUAGGCGGAAUCACUGGGCUUAAAGCGUGUGUAGGCGGAUUUGUAAGUACCUUGUGAAAUCCCACGGCUUAACCGUGGAACUGCUUGGUAUACUGCUUAUCUUGGGUCGUCUAAGGGCGAGCGGAACAAACGGUGGAGCGGUGAAAUGCGUAGAUAUCGUUUGGAACGCCAAUGGUGAAAACAGCUCGCUGGGGACGUACCGACGCUGAGACACGAAAGCCAGGGGAGCGAACGGG